GCAACGGUCACCGGAGUUUCGCCGCCGGCGAGAUACGAGCUGCGCCUCCGGCAAAUCUAUGUGUAGUCCGGCGAGGCGUAGGUUUUGUAUUUGGUGGAGGUCUAGAUCGGCCACCGGCGCCGGAUAAAUGCCCUACCUCGGGAAUAGCUCGGCGCUCGUGCUGGUAGUCGUUCUCUUCCUCGGCCCCGUUAUUGCGCUCGUGUCCCGCCGGCGAUGGCGUCACGCGGCGGCAAAGCGGGAGG
rnacentral:misc_RNA from 1 species